GUCGAAUUAGAAAAGAAUUGUUUCAACAUCAUUACAGAAAGAACAAACUUUCUCUCUCUUUACCUGCACACUGACAGCUGAGAUGCAGCUACGUUAACCUUUCCUCCCUCUCCCUUUCUCCCUCUACCGAGGAUACCAGCUUGUAUCAAUGUAUGGAAUCAUCAAACAAAAGUGGGCUUCACAUCACAUCAGGUAUUAACAGAAUGAUUCCUCUCCGAAGCAUGGUCCAUAUUCAUGAGGAUAUUCCAAAGACUUUACAGCUGAAGCUAUCGCUAAACUUCUUCUGAAAAUGCCGUCUCAGUCGUGUCCCAUUUCGAAAAAACACAG
ensembl:lncRNA